UGGAAAGCGAGUUUUGUGGCCCAACUUUAAUUAUUCAUCAUCCAAAAGCACAUUGCUAAAGCUAGCUUCUCAUAUUUUAUUUCAAAAUUAUCUGUUAGAUUUCUUGUAUUCACAAUAAUGUAUUUUUAAAGGAUAAUUUGUUUAAAAUUGGUCAGUUUCGCACAACCUGUAGUUUACUUUAAUGAACCCUGGGUUACAUUUUUCUUAUAUUAAUGAAAAAGCAUGGUAAAGUAUACAUUCUCGCAAAAUAUAAGCAAAUUUUAUUAUACUUCUUAUGUAGACCACCAACUCAUUCAUGUAAUUAUAGAUUAUGGUUCUUAAUUAGGGCCCCACCUUUAGGCGGGUUGCCCUAUAGUGAUCAGUCUGUCCUUCCGUAACACUUUAACUCUUUGUCCGCUCCAUAUCUAGAGAACCAUUAUGAUUUCAUACUUUAAACUUUACAUGUUUAUCAACCACCACCAGAGGGCGUGUCAUGAUGUAUGUACAACUUUCUAGGUCAAAGGUAAAGGUAAAAAAACUUUGGUUUCAGUUGACAACCCCGUGUCCUGUGGUGAAGAUCGUGUCCGCUCCAUAUCUAGAUAACCAUUAUGAUUUUAUACUUAAUACUUUUAUAAACAACACCAGAGGGUGUGUCAUGAUGUAUGUACAACUUCCUAGGUCAAAGGUCAAGGUCAAAAACUUUGGUUUCAGUUGACAACCCCAUGUCCUGUGGUGAAGAUCAUGUCCGCUCCAUAUCUAGAUAACCGUUCUGAUUUCAAAGUUUAUACUUGACAUCCAUUUUAACCACCACCAGAGGGCGUGUCAUGAUGUAUGUUCAACUUCCUAGGUCAAAGGUCAAGGUAAAAAAAACUUUGGUUUCAGUUGACAACCCCGUGUCCUGUGGUGAAGAUCGUGUCCGCUCUAUAUCUUGAGAACCGUUAUGAUUUCAAAUAUUAUACUUGACAUCCAAUUUAACCAACACCAGAGGGUGUGUCCUGAUGUAUGUACAACUUCCUAGGUCAAAGGUCUGUCCAUCGCUAACAAAUUUGAUCCACACUAUAUUUUGAGAGGACAGCUGUUAUUAUUUCAUACUUUAUACCUGACAAACAAUCACAAAUGAGACUAUGUAAUAACUUCAAAUAAUGCUUCAUAUCAGAUUAUCCAUACAACUUGUUUACCCCACGUUAUUGACAGUGGGGCCCACAGAGAUGGCUCCCGUCUCAAUGGCAUCUAGUUCCAAAUGUUUAUGCAGUUUUUUUUUAUAUCUGGUUUAAAU
rnacentral:lncRNA from 1 species